GACGAACGCUGGCGGCGUGCUUAACACAUGCAAGUCGAACGGAAAGGCCCUGCUUUUGUGGGGUGCUCGAGUGGCGAACGGGUGAGUAACACGUGAGUAACCUGCCCUUGACUUUGGGAUAACUUCAGGAAACUGGGGCUAUUACCGGAUAGGAGCUCCUGCUGCAUGGUGGGGGUUGGAAAGUUUCGGCGGUUGGGGCUAGACUCGCGGCUUAUCAGCUUGUUAGUGGGGUAGUGGCUUACCCAGGCUUUGACGGGUAGCCGGCCUGUGAGGGUGACCGGCCACAUGGGGACUGAGAUACGGCCCAGACUCCUACGGGAGGCAGCAGUGGGAAAUAUUGCACAAUGAGCGGAAGCCUGAUGCAGCAACGCCGCGUGCGGAAUGACGGCCUUCGGGUUGUAAACCGCUUUCGCCUGUGACGAAGCGUGAGUGACGGUAAUGGGUAAAGAAGCACCGGCUAACUACGUG
rnacentral:rRNA from 1 species